rnacentral:rRNA from 1 species
AAUAUUGGACAAUGGGGGCAACGCUGAUCCAGCCAUGCCGCGUGUGUGAAGAAGGUCNNNGGAUUNUCAAGCACUUUAGGUUGNGAANAAGGGCUUUAGGUUAAUACCCUGAAGUUUUGACGUUACCGACAGAAUAAGCACCGGCUACCUCUGUGCCAGCAGCCGCGGUAAUACAGAGGGUGCAAGCGUUAAUCGGAAUUACUGGGCGUAAAGCGCGCGUAGGUGGUUCAGUAAGAUGGGUGUGAAAUCCCCGGGCUUAACCUGGGAACUGCUUUCAUAACUGCUGAGCUAGAGUACGGUAGAGGGUAGUGGAAUUUCCUGUGUAGCGGUGAAAUGCGUAGAUAUAGGAAGGAACACCAGUGGCGAAGGCGACUACCUGGACUGAUACUGACACUGAGGUGCGAAAGCGUGGGGAGCAAACAGG